AAAAAUUUAGUUAAUAAAUAACAUUAACUUGUCAAGUUAAAAUAAUUAAUUCUAAUAAUUUUUU
rnacentral:tRNA from 1 species